UAGUCACCGUACUAUAACAUUCAGUGGCUGUGCGUUGAAGCAUAUUCAAGCAGAGAACUUGAAGUUUUCUUAGUCGUUUGACUAACUGGAAGAUAUCUUAAAAAGUGUCACAAUUGCAAGAAAUGGGCGAAGCAGCGCGAAAAGUUGAUAAAGACGCGCUUAAACGGAGUACCCAAUCCGCGUCCCUGGGAGCCAGAACGCAUACCACGUACUGAGCUCAAGUACAAGCUGCUGCUAGCCUCGUUUUACGAGCGCUAUUGGCGUCUGCCCGAGCUGGCCUAUGUGGUAAUUCAGCCCAUCCGCCAUGUGCGUAAGGUUCUGCUCCGGAUAGCCGUCUAUCGGCGAGAGGAGCCUUAUCGCGGCUAUUGGGCGUUCAAGCAAAAGUUCCAUAUGAUGGUGUACUAACCCACGCAAUAAAGGCGCCGCAAUAAAAAACAAAUCUCGAAUGGAAUGUUCUGAACAUAAUUUAACCAAAUAGCAAUAACCAAAAGCAACGGCAAAACCAGCUGCAACAACCACGACAACAACAACAGCAGCGGCAGCAACAACCACAACUACGAGGGUAACACACCGGCAACAACAACAACCACUACAAUAACAAUAUCAAGUACAACAACAUUGGAGCUCAUAAAACAUCAAGAGACGAGGCCAAUAAAUGCAAACUAAGUGUCUUGGCAACGCCAAGCCAAGCCAGGCCAAGCCAAGCCACGCCCACCCAUAGCAGCCGUCCCCCAGCACAGCGUGAGCGCUUAAUAAAUGCAAAUGUGUCCAAGUAUGAACAAUUAUAGAAUGGAAAUUUGCAUUAAAAUUUUAUGUACUCUCUGAA